AUCGCUUCUCGGCCUUUUGGCUAAGAUCAAGUGUAGUAUCUGUUCUUAUCAGUUUAAAAAUAAGCAAUGGCAAAAAUAAAUAUUCUCAGAUGAGGAUUAACAUAUAUGUUAAUAGAAAUAAAGUUGCUACUUCUU
rnacentral:snRNA from 1 species